UCAGCUGUCAACAAGGACUGUUGUUCUCGAAUUUAGAAUCAAAGAAUUGCUAAUUUCUUUGAUGUAGCCUUAUGAAAUGGUGUCCUCUAUAUUAUUAUAUUAAUUGAAACACUGAUGAGGAUGUCCCUAGGUGUAAGUUAUAUGAUGACACGAAGCCAUGAAGCGUAACCGGGGGGUCAUAAUCGGGCAGCAUGAAGCAGCGACGGCGAUCCUCGGGUGCACUGGAGCAGAACUCUUGGUGUGGCUUACACUCCUUCCUCUCCAAGACGUAGUCACAUUUAUACCUACCACUACAAACUCCAAGGUACUUCAGCACCCAUACAAGCAUUUCAAGUUGGGAGAGUUAACCAAGAGGAAUUAUUGACUCCCGUGUGCCAUUAGCCGGCUCUUGACGUUGACUUUUAAACUGAAAAACCAAACCAAACAAGGAAUGAAUUGAUGCAUAGAGCUCUGGGUUGCCUUUUGUGGUUCAUCAUCUUUAAUUCUGACACUGACAUAAGGUAUUUCAAGAUGAGUUCCGACACUUUAACCCUGCCAACAGACAUCGACGUUCAUGAGAGUAUCACUAAUAUUGCCAUCUGGCUUGAAACUCACAGUCAUGCUGGACCUCAACAAACUCCGGAAGAGAUCACAGCAGAAGAUUUAGCUGUAGCUGUGCCGGGUGAGUGUCUCUUCCCCGAGCUCUGUGCUGAAAAUGAAGAAGCAUCCCAUGAAGAAGAGAAAGGCGUCCUUGUUUACACAGACAGUAAUGAAGACAAAUACAUCUGGUUGAAGGGAGAUUGGCAUCCCUUGGAAGGUAUUGAGCAUUACCUCACCAAACAAUGGAUGGGCCCAAACUUCGUGCCUGGGUGAGCGGCUGCUGGUGCGUGCUGACACAGCUGGACUAUGCUGCUCGGGAGGCUGAGGCUGAAGUGCCCUAUGGCUGCUGUCCCCUGACUGACCCCACCUACCUCCUCUGGCAUCUGCACCGCCCAGCUGGCAUGUGCUCACUCAAACGCAAGGGUACUAGUAUAUGGGGUGGUGAGGAUGUAUAUGCCUGUGAUACCCUGGACACCAUGUAUGUGCCGUGUGGCUCGACGGCAGGGACAUUCUCUGGCUCUGUUAAGAACUCUGGCAUCAGAGGUUCCUCCAGGUGAC
rnacentral:misc_RNA from 1 species